UGGAAAGCUUUUAAAGCCACAGUAGGCAGGAUGAGUUUCAGCCUGUCUAGAAGGUCCUUGAAGAGGAGUAUCAGCUUGAUUUAAACUUUUAGAACCUUCCACCAGAAUUCAAACGCAGUGUGGAGGCACCAUUACAGUAAAUCAAGAACAAGUAUG